rnacentral:ncRNA from 2 species
AGAUUCCUUCGGGGUCGGGUGUAAAUCCCAAUCGGCGGUAAAGCCAGCUCGUCGACGCAGAAAGCGUCGACGAGCUGGCGAGUCCGCGAGUUCUGGCCAUCGGAACACGACUGCGGUUAGAUCCCGCGACCGACCGUACAGUCGGGAUGAAAGAAGGAAAAA